GGGCUGGUAGUUUAAUCGAGAAAAUGCUUCGCUUGCACCGAAGAAGAUGUGAGUUUGAAUCUCACCUGGUCCA
rnacentral:tRNA from 1 species